rnacentral:rRNA from 1 species
UACGUAGGGUGCGAGCGUUAGUCGGAAUUACUGGGCGUAAAGCGUGCGCAGGCGGUGAGCUGUGCCCGAUGUGAAAGCCCCGGGCUUAACCUGGGAAUGGCAUUGGAAACUGACUCGCUGGAGUGUGGCAGAGGGGGGUGGAAUUCCGCGUGUAGCAGUGAAAUGCGUAGAGAUGUGGAGGAACACCAAUGGCGAAGGCAGCCUUCUGGGCCAACACUGACGCUCAUGCACGAAAGCGUGGGGAGCAAACAGG